UUAUAAUGCGGAGUCCACAAAGAAAUAUAAGGAUGACGAAUUAACCAUCAUGAUGCUGGUGGACGGGUGUGCUUUACUCUGUUACAUUUUAUGCGUUUGCUUAGGUUAUGGCCAUGAAGAUUUCAAUAUCAGAUAUCAGAAAAUGAAAAUUUGGAAGGUCCUUCGUCAUCGGAAACUGAAAUUGGCCGGAGGCUGGGUAGAGCAUCAGUUAGAGAUGUGAAGGAGGUUAUGGCAUCAUUUAGAAAUGUGAAGGAGCUGAUGGACGCUGGAAUCCGCAUCAAGCGCAAUCCUACACGUCACUUGAGGGACAUUUCUUUCCGUUCAAAUGGGAUCACCGCAUGCCUGAGAAUUCCUCCCAUCACCAUUGAUAACUCAACCAAGGCUAUGUUCUUGAACUUGAUAGCCUAUGAAAUGAGCUCAGACGUCGACCAUGACUUCAUCUCUUACCUUCGCUUCCUUGAUUCCCUCAUUGAUCAUGCUGAUGACGUUAAGGAGCUGCAGUCCAUCGGGAUACCAAAACAAUCUAGGAACCCACGAAGAAGUGGCUCAAUUCUUCAACACCGUGUCCGCCAACUUGGAAUCCAACUUUCAUGCUUACAAAGACGUGAGAGUGAAAAUUCGGAAGCACCUUCAGAGUCACUAUAACAGCAAACUGACGAUGUGGAUGACACAAUGCCUGGACACCUAUUUCGGUAGCCCCUGGACAAUCAUAGCUUGGGUUGGUGCAGCUUUGGCCCUAUUCCUUACUUUCGUCCAGACUUACUUCUCAGUCUUCCCUCAUUGAUGCAUGCCUGUCCUGUUUUCAACUAUCACCAUCUCAAUUAAGGUAGUAUCCACUCCAAAUUUCCUUGUUUUUCUCGCUAUCUGCAUUUUACCUAGUCCAUGUAAAUUAAGCAAAGACUCAUUGGCUUCAUGCGCUUUUGACCUUACCUCUUUUGUGUUUUUGGUUUCAGCCUAUUUUCUACAUUGCUUUCCGUGCUUAAAUUAAGUAAAGAAUGACUAUGUAGUGUGACCUUAGUUUGGUGUAUUAUGUGCUAUCGCAAGCAUGUGCUAUGCUUGUAUAUGCAUCAUCAGCAGUAUUAUGUUUGAUUUAAGUACGUAAAUAAAGAUAGAUAUAGGUGGAAUAUUUUUUUUCUAUGUUUAUAUUCCUGUUAAUGUAUUAUAUAUAUAUGUUAGGUCGGCAAUUUUUUUUAUCUCAUACCAUUUUUAAUUAAAUCAUUCUUAAACUAUAGUUACUAAGCCAAAAAUUAUAAUGCUCUAGAAAUAUAAUCAAUCUCAUUGUCGAAUUUUUCUAAAAUAAUCUCAGAAUAAGCCCAAUAUCUCUAAUAAUAUGUUAUUUAAGGCACAUAAUAUUCCAAAAAGAAAAUUCUGCAAAAGAAAAAGAAAUUUGUUGAGAAGUGGUUUAUUUUAGUUAAUAUGAACAAAACAACAUUUUGUCCGAUGGAAAUUUGACUAAUGCUUGUAAGUACCGAUUUGUAAAUAUUUGUGGGGGGAGUUUCUUUUGACAACCGAUGGAGCAAUUCAGGUCAUGCAACACUUAUUUGACAACAUUCUAAAAUAAUGUUGUUAAAAAUAUUUAAGAAUGGUUCUGAAAAUAUAUUUUACUUGUUCUUAGGAAUAAAAUUCAACUUAUUUGACAAUAUUCUUAAGAAUAUGCUUUAUCUGUUUUUACUUUUUAGGAAUAAAAUUCCAUUUAAGAAUUAAAAUAUGAAAUACGGCUUUUCAGCCUUGUCCUUCACAAAGGCAUGCGCAGUGGACCUAUAAUGCAAGUUCUUUUUUGUUCUUUUUUAAAACACUUGCAUAAUUUUCUUAAAGAUUAUUUUCAAAAAAUUUUAAAUUUGAUGUAAUAAUUCAUAAAAUUUUCCUUGCAUGUAAUGAAAAACUCGGAUUAUUUGUAUGUUAUAAAAGUUAAAAUUUAUUUAUUUUUAAAUUAAUUUUAUAUCAAAUAUUAUUAAUUAUUAUUAUUUUAAAAAAAUUAUUUUUUUUAAAAUAAAUAAAUUAUACUUUUAUAAAAAUAUUAAUAUCCAUAUUUUUAUAAUAUAUAUUAAAAUAUUUUUUUUAUGAAAAAUAUAAUUUUAUGACUUUGUUAUAAUAUUACUAUUCAUAUUUUACUAGACAUUAUUUUGUUUUAUUUAUUUGUGAUAACAAAAAAUAUUUUCAUUUUUAAUCAAACUUAAAUUAAAUCUAAUUAAUAUGGUAUAAAUUGAAUUUAUAAUAUUUUUACAAAAUAAAAAUGGAAAAAAAAAAUAAAACCAAUUUAUUCAAAUAAACUUUUUUUUUCUAAUUAUUUUUAAAAACAAUUUAUCUAACACUCUUAUUUUUAUAAAAUGUUAAAAAUAUAUAUAUAUAUUUAAAAAAAAAAAAAAAAAAAAACAUGUUCACACAAAAUGUGCUAUUUUUUACCAUUCAGGUGUUAUCCCUUACUGAUGUAGAUAAAAGAUACGCAUAAAAUUAAAAAUGAUUUUUGGACUGUUGCUAUUUUGAUGGGUUUUUUUUUUUUCAAAUGAAACAUGCUUUUUCCCUUUUUGCCCCCUCUCUGAUUGAGGGUUUGUUUUAUUUCACUCUCAUGGAGAGCCCUCUCCAUCUGCCAGCCAACCUGACAAGUCUGAACUGCUCUUUAAGUCUUUCAUUAAUGACACAACUAACUCUCACAGCAGGCGUUGUAAUUGAUAGAAUCAAGGACAGGACAUGGAGUAAUUUGUUUUACUCCAUUUGCCAACUAAUCUGACAAGUUUGAAACACUCUUUAAUGCUUUGUUUUUCGUCUUUCAAUCAUGACACACCCAACUCUCCAUCAGGCGUUGCAAUUGAUACAAUCAAAGAUGGGACAGGUAUUCAUAGAGGCUUCUUUUUUUCUACACCUCUAUAACCACCCAUUUAAGAUAACGUAUAUUUAUCAAAAUCAAACAUUUACUACAUAAUUGUUUGCGAAACCAUUGAACACUACGAUUUAUUACAUUAUAAAUAUAAACAAGCCAGAUGAACCCAGUCACUCACAACGUAGCCUAUCAUAAUUUCUAUUUUUUUUUUCAUUUGAAUUAAAUUAAAAUUUUCAUAAUAUAAUACUUUAAUUUUUAUUUUGAAAUAAUAGGUGUUGCAUAAUUUGUUUUACUUUACUGGUAGGUUAUGAAUUAUUAUUAUUAUUAAUAUAAUUCAAGUAACAUUUUGUUGGAAACUCAAAGCUUUAUAUGUGACCAGGUAGGAAAAAAAAACACCUAUGAAGACCUAAAAUUAAUGUAAUACCAAUUCAAAUUAUAUAGACAAGUGAGAGGUAAGUGAAAACAAUAAAUAAGAAGAAUAAAAAAGGUGAAAAAUAACAAAUAAAAAAAAUAAGAGAGAGAGUUGAUUAAAUUUUAAAUUAAUAGUGGUUAAGUAUAGUUAACCUAUAUAUUAAGGGAUGUGAGUAAAAUUAAUUUUUUAAAAGUAUUGAAUGUAACCAAAAACAUAAAUAAGGUACUAGAAGUUUUGAAUAAACGUGGAUGUGAGAAAUGGUAUAUUCAUCAAAAUCAAAUAAAAUUGUUGAGAAAACUAUUAAACUAUGAUAUAUAUAUAAUGUAUUAGAAUCUUAUAAAAAUUAUAAGGACCUAUUUAUUAACAAAGUAUCUUACCAUAAAUUUUUAUUUAAAUUAAAUCAAAAGAUUUGACAAUAAUGACUUGCUAUUUGUUGGGCCUAUGUGUGCAGAUCACAGGAUUAUUCGUCAUUGGAUGUUGUUUGGUCACUGCAGUUUACACAUUUGAGGAUGUUUGGUUUAGACAAGUGUCACUGACAGAUUUGUAAACUUAUUUUUUAAAGUAUUUAGGGUUUAUUUAAUCUAUAUUUUGCACAAAAUUGGCAAAGAGAAGAGAUUGUUAAUUAGUGCAUUAGACUACUUGUUUAGAUUUACAAUUUUAUUCAAUUCAUUCUAACUUAAAACUUUUCUAGGCUACUAUGUUUUAUUCUUUAUUGAAGAUUUAAAAUUACUACGUGAUCAAUCGAGAUAAUACAGGCAAGUGUAAAGAUGUACAAGAAAUGUUAAUUGAGAUUGGUUAUAGUGUGGAAUGGAUAGGCUUUUGAUUUUAAAAUUAUGAAAAAGGUGAGUGUUUUUCGAUCCCAAUGCUCAAGCACUCCUUAGACUACUUAAAUGCUUAAGCCAAAAUUAUGUGAAAUUCUAAAAUAUUGUUUUUUUCAUAUUUUGAAUAAUGUUUUUUUUUUUGGGGGGAAAUUUUAGAUGUCAUCCCCCUCUUUUUUUUUCUCUUUAAUGCAAACUUUGAAAAAAAAAAUUAGUCCGAGUAUUAGUUUUUCCACAUUCUAAACUAUUAGAAGUUUGUUUUCUCAUUCAUGGGUUUGUGAGAGACAUCUACAUCCAUUUUAGGCAUUGAAGUGGUCCUCUGAGUGCAUGUGUGGUGCUGCGUUAUAAACGUGAAAACUAAUAUAUGUAUUAAGGAGUAAGACUUAGGAAUAACAUCGAAAAUCUAUAUACCUUUUGUUUUAAUAGUGGAUUUGUACUUUGCAUAUUUUGACCUUGUGAUUUUUACACCUGCAUAAUCUUUAAAAGACUGGGAGUCAUUUCCAAGUAAAUGUUGUUAUAUCUCCAACAUAAUCUUUGAAAGACUGUAGGAGUAGUUUCCACGUAAAUGUUCUUAUAUCUUCUAUAAUUGAUUUUUCUUUACAUUUCAUAAAUAUUAAAAAGGAAAUAAAAAUAAAUAUUUUAGGAUAAAAAGAAGUAAAUACCUGUUGACUUCCUUUAGUUUCAUAACCAAGAUCUACAAACCAUGAGUGUUGCAUGUGAAAAGAAAUAUUUAUUUAUUUUGGGCUAAAAUAAAUAUUUUUCUUUCAAUUUAUUUUACUGUAAUGGUAGGUGGUGAAUUUAUUUUAGUUCACAUGUGAAAAGAAUGGGCCCUCAUCUGCCAUUUUGGACAAGUUGGUUCACUGAUGUGAUGGUAAGGUCAAUUUGUAGUGGAAAGAUUAGCUUAAUUUUGAGUACUCAUUAAAAGGUGGAGAUAAUCUUGUUCUAGACAAAAAUUAUUCAAUCAGUCCAAGAUUUUUUUAAUCUUUAUAAAAAUAAAUAAAAUCUAGAUAUGGAAUCAGUCACGCGGAUGCUAUAAAAUCUGAAAAUAUACCAAAUCAAUGUCACAUCCCAUUCAAAUUUUGAAAAAGAUAUAAGAUGAAUUAAUAAAAUUAUAUGAAAGAAUGUAAAAUACAUGUUGAAAAGUGAAAACGAAUAAUUACAUUGAAUCAAAGAUAAAAAUUGAAAACUGAUGCGUAGAAAGAAAAUGACCUGAUGACUUGGGGAAAGAAAAGGGAUUCAAGUCAACUUUUGACACAAAAAAAAGAAAAAAAAAAAGAAAGUAUAGAGAUAUCUAGUAGUACUAUCUCCAGCUAUCUCAUUCUCAUACUAACAAUGGCUGGGAAGGAGGUGGUGGUUUCAGUGGAGGAGCAGCAGGAAGUAGCUACUAAACAGUCUGAAAAAUCUGCGGAUGGCAGUGAUCAUUCGAGAACCUUGGCUGACUUAAAAUCCAAAUUUCGCCGAUCUCCAUCAUCACCGUCAAGUCCAAAGCUACAAUGUCCCAAGGUUCCAAAGAAGUUGCGAUCAGCUGUCAAGGAGGAAGACUACUAUGCCCCAAAACUCAUUUCUUUGGGUCCUUACUACCAUGGCGAAUCCCACCUCGCGAAUGGAGAAACGCUCAAGCUUAAAUUGGCAGAAGCCUACAUCCUAGAAAUUACUGUGUCACAAGGGAACUCAGUCGAGCAGUCAGUCGAUAACAUUUACCACAUGAUCAGAGAUCGCAUUGAUGAGCUGAAAGGUUGUUAUGACUAUCAGGAGUCCAGAAAGAACUAUAAGGAAGACGAAUUCACUGCGAUGAUGCUGGUGGACGGGUGUGCUUUACUGUGGUACAUUUUAUGUGUUUGCUUAGGUGGUGACCAUGAAGAUUACGAUAUCAGAUAUCAGGAUCUAAGCCUUCUUCACCAGGAUGCGUUGCUGCUGGAGAACCAACUUCCCUAUCAAUUACUACAGGAGCUGAUGAAGAUGGCGGUCCCAGAAUCGGCCAAUAAAGCUUGGACAGUACUAUUCCAGGAAUUCUUUGGCAUGAUCGACGAGUCAUUCUUCCAAGAAUUCUUUGGUAUAAAGGAGAAGGAGUACUCAUUCCUGCCAAAAAUGAAGAAUUAUUGCUGCCGCAUGUUCCUGGCAAUCAUCCAAAUUAUUAACAGGAAACCAAAGCUGAAACCUGGUGAAGAGUCGGAGCCGAAACCUGAUGUAGAGUCGAAGAUGAAACCUGAUGUAGAUUCGAAGAUGAAACCUGAUGAAGAGUCGAAGCCGAAACCUGAUAAAGAGUCGAGGCUUUGUCAUCAUCUCCUCGAUCUCUACCGAAGAAAUUUCCUAGGCGAUGAACGUUCUAGCGCAACGCAUUCGGAGGCUGAAAAUGGCAAGAAGGGUCCGGGAUCAGUUGGAGAUGUGAAGGAGCAGGUUAUGGCAUCAUUUAGAAAUGUGAAGGAGCUUAUGGCCGCUGGAAUCCGCAUCAAGCGCAGUCCUACACGUCACUUGAGGGACAUUUCUUUCCGUUCAAAUGGGAUCACCGCAUGCCUGAGAAUUCCUCCCAUCACCAUUGAUAACUCAACCAAGGCUAUGUUCUUGAACUUGAUAGCCUAUGAAAUGAGCUCAGACGUCGACCAUGACUUCAUCUCUUACCUUCGCUUCCUUGAUUCCCUCAUUGAUCAUGCUGAUGACGUUAAGGAGCUGCAGUCCAUCGGGAUACUCCAAAACAAUCUAGGAACCCACGAAGAAGUGGCUCAAUUCUUCAACACGGUGUCCGCCAACUUGGAAUCCAACUUUCAUGCUUACAAAGAUGUGAGAGUGAGAAUUCGGAAGCACCUUAAAAAUCACUACAACAGCAAACUGAAAAUGUGGAUGACACAAUGCCUGGAUACCUACUUCGGUAGCCCCUGGACUAUCAUUGCUUGGGUUGGUGCUGCUUUGGCCCUUUUCUUUACUGCCGUCCAGACUUACUUCUCAGUCUUCCCUCAUUGAUGCAUGCAUGCCCUGUUUUCUCGCUAUCUAUUGAGUGCUUCUGCAUUUUACCUAGCCCAAAUUCAUGGACUCCAUAUAACUCUUUGAUGGUUGCAAAGUAAAUUAGGCAAAGAGUCAUUGGUCUCGUUUCUUUUCCAUUUCAGCCUAUUUUCUACCUUCCUUUCCGUGUGUAAAAAAGUAAAGAAGGAAUGUGUGGUGUGAUCUUAUUUUGGUGUAUUUUGUGCUUAUGUAUGCAUCAGUAAUAUUAUGUUUGAUUUAAGUAACUAAAAAUUGAUAUGGGUGUGGACUAUUUUUUCUAUGUUUGGAUCCCUAUUAAUGUAUUAUAUUAGGUUGGGAAUUUUAUUUCAUUGAUGUUUUAGUCCGAUACAACUUAUUUCCUCAGAUCUUAAUGGUUGUGAUCGAAUUAAAAUUAUUCAUCAGUUCGGUAUGAGGUAAGUGUUUGAAGAAGUAAGAUAGAGUAAUGAAAACUUGUAAAAAAAACACAACACAAAACAAAGUGAAGAGUGGAGAACAACCUCACUGGAAUGUAGAUAAUUUAAUAGAUGUAAGUCAUUUAUUCAUUUUUAAUUGAGAAAAAAUAAAAUAUUAAUACUAUUGUUAGAAAUUUAUUUAUCAUAAAGUUUUCUUGGAUUUCGUACAAAAUAUAUCAAAGAAAUUGAUAUUAGUUUCCAUGAACUUAUCUCAAGUACCAUUUUUUGUCGCAAAGAAGCUUCCGAGAAGAGGAUUUUUUUGAACAAAAAUAAAGGAGGGGAGAAGGUAGAAGGUGUGGAAUAGAAGAAUGGGGAAUGGUAUUUAAGUUAUAUUGGAGAUAAUUAAUGGAUGGAUGUAUUGAUAUGAUUUUUAUCUUCUUAGAUGAUUGCGUAAAUAGGAUGAAUGCGUGGAAAAUUUAUUCGGUGGAAGCAAAUAUAAAUUCUCUUUUUAAUCUCAAACAAGAGAGUAGUAUUUUUUGGUGAAGAAGGGUUUAGUAAUUUAAUCAAUUUUUUUUAUAAAAAAAAUUUUAUUUUUGUUUUCAAUUUUAAAAAUGAUUUUGGAAAGUUUGAUUGUGAUGUCCUACAUCGAAUAAGAAAAAAAGUUUAUGACGAAGUAUGAACUCUUUUUAACUUUGUAAAUAUGUUUUAAAGUUAUAAUGACCCUUUUUGACUUAAAGUAGACAAUAAUUACAUGAUUAAGUAUGAGUUGUUAUAAAAGACACAUGAGAGUCAUUUUGUUUGUUUGGUCUCACAAUUUUAUAGGAUACAACAAGGACGUUGUGUUUACAUAAGGGGUGAUUGUGAUGUCCUAUAUUGAGGGGUGAUUGUGAUGUCCUAUAUUGGAUAAAAGAGAAAGUUUCUGACAGUACAUAUAUGUAAGUUCCUUUGAACCUUAUAAAUGUGUUUUAAAGUCGUGAAAACCUUAUUGGGAUCGAGCAAACAAUAUGUAUAUGGUUGAGUGUGAGUCAUUACAAAUGAUACUAGAACUAAUCUUUUACCCUUGUGUGGGAUUUUGUUUGGCCCUAUGAAGGGUGUCUACUUGUUUAGCCUCGCAAUUCCAUGUAACACAAUAAAAAAGUUGUGUUUGCAUGGGGAAGGGAGACAGUGUUUGUGAUGUCCCACAGUGGAUAGAGAAAAAAAUUUCUAGCACUAUAUAAAUAUAAAUUCCUCUUAAUCUUAUAAAUGCAUUUUAAAGUUGUGAAAGCCCCUUUGAAUCUAGAGUCGACAAUAUCUACAUGGUUAGAUGCAGGUCAUUAUAAAAAACACAUUAUAAGUCCGUACGGACUCCUUUAGAUUCAGAAUAGACAAUUUCUACACAAUUGAGUGUUAAUCAUUACAUUGACUUAAUAAUAUUAGGUUUAUUUUGAAUAUAUUUAGGGCUUAUAACUUUUGGAAAAUAUUUGUUAUAAAAAUAAUUAGGAAACUUUUAAGAUGAAUUUAGAAGUGAAAAGUGUUUGCAAAAAGUGGAAAAAUCUCGGAUAAAACAAUGUCAUGUUAUCUACUACGAUUUUUUUUCUUUGCUUUUGUUGAAACUCUUUUUUGCUUCCAACCUUUUACAAGGACCAAAUACUAGUAGUUUCUAUUAAGCAAAACAACAAAACAGGACAUAGGGCACAGAAUGGCAAAAUAUAGAAUGAUAGAAAUCUAUUUUCAUUAAUAUUUCCAUAAAUAAAAAAUAAUAAGAUAUUAAUAAUAUUUUAUUCUCCUCAUUUAGAAAAUAAUAUUUAUUUUAAAUCAAUCAAGACCAAUCAAGAAUAUUUUAUUCUCUUAAUUUAGAAAAUAAUAUUUAUUUUCUUAAUUUUAGAAUAUUUAUUAUUUCUAUCUUUCUAUAAUCCACAAUGCAUCAUUGUAUAAAUUUCUGAAAAGAGAAAAUAAGAAAAUCAUUUUCAUUGUCUAAUUUUCAAACUUUUCAUGGUAUUAAAGUUAGGAUAGGAGGCUCGAAUUUGAGUUUUUUUUCAAAAAGUGGUCAAAUGUCAUAAAAGACUUAACCUACCCUCACAAACCAUAUCUUCAUUUUCAAAAAUAAAAAUUGCCUAGUGUUUUAGUCUUCCAUCAAUAUUCUUUCUAGUUUGAUUUCAAUCAAGUUAAACACCACAAAUUUUCUAUUGUGGUGAAAUCAAAUCAUCCUCUUAAUUCAUGGCUUCAAUGUUCUAGCUUUUCAUCAAUGUUUUACACUUUCAUUAGUGUUAUUUCUAGCUUAUUUUAAUCAAGCUAAACACCAUAAAUUUCCUAUUAUGGUCAUCCUUUUAGUUUGUGGCAUCGGUGUUCUCCAACAUCUCUUAGGUGAAAAAAACCUAUUGAAAAAAGUUAAAGAUGAUAAAGGAAGCAAAAGUUCUAUCUUGUAAUACCAAUUAUUGAUCGACAAUGACAAAUUUAUCACUUCACGAAUUCUUGGAAUCAUGAAAGAACAUAUUUUAAGCAUGAUCUUUGGUGUUGACAUGGUAUAUGAGGUAUGAACUUUUCUUAAAGAGCAAUUGCUUUAUGUUAUAGUUGAAAAAAAAAAUCUACUGAAAAACUUUUAAAAGACUUCAAAUAUAUAUAUAUGACAAUCUUGUUGUAAUCAAAAGCCAAUUUUAGACCAUGUAAACGUCCGUCGAUUUGUUCAUGGUUCAAGAUAAAGGUAUGAAUUUUUUUUUCACCUAUAUGCUUUUCUAGCCAAUUUAUAGUAGCUCUUCAAGAACAUAAAGAAUCACUCACAACCAAAAAAGAGGAGAGAAAAUGUUCUUAGAGCAUGAACAAUUUUUAUUUAGAUGAUAGGGUCAUGAUCAAAAUGGUUGAGAGGGCUCCACUCUUUCUAUGUGUUACGAUUCUUAUAUAUAUAUAUAUGCAUGUUUUUAUCAAGUCCUUGUCAAAGGAUGUCUUCACUAUGUUUCAAGACAAGUUGGGGAUCCAUAUUCAUUCUCACUCCAUCUUGAGGGGCAUGAUUAAGGAAAUAAAAUAAAAUAGGACAAAUGACGAAGAAUGGCGUGGAAUGAUAAGUUAAUCCAUCUUAGUUAUUAUUUCCAUAAAUUAAGAAUAACCAAAUAUUAAUGAUAUUUGAUUUUCCUAAUUUAAGAAAUAAUAUUUAUUUUAAAUAAAUUAAGAGCAAUCAAAUAUUAAUGAUGUUGGGUUAAACACACUUUACCUUCUCAACUUUUUCGUGGGUUUUACAUUUUGUGCCCUCAUAUUCAAAAUUCAACAAUUUUCCCUCCAAACUUCUUAAAAAUUAGCAUUACACAUUUUUGUUGGAUGACGUUACAUCUAUUAAACAAAAAAUGACGCGCUUUACACAUGACUUAAUAAGUAAAGAUGAAAUUGUCAUUUGAAACACUCAAAACCUUAAAUCCUUUUCAAUUUUUUUUUGUUCUUCCUCCAAACUCUUCAAUCUCUAUUUUUCUUCCUCCAAAGCCCUAACUUCCCAAAACCCUAAAAUCACAAAAACCCAAUGCAACCAUUGAAGGGCUGAGAAUUUGAUUAAAUAUAUGGAUUUCAUUGGUAGUUUUUUUCUUUUCCUUGUAAUUUUUUGCUUCAAUUUUUCUUUGAUAGCUAAGAAAAUUUUGAGAAGAGAAUAAAUUUUGAGUGAUGAUGUGUUUAAGGUUAGAGUUUCCUUUUGAUAGUUGAGAAAAUAUUGAGAAAGAGAACAAAUUUUAGGUGAUUAAGGUUAGAGUUUCCUUUUGAUAGUUGAGAAAUUUCGUAAAAGAGAACAAAUUUAGGUGUUUAGGGUUUUCUUUUCAUAAUUGAGAAAUUUCCUUUUCAUAGGUGUUUAUCUCCUAUCAAUUUAGCUUUCUUAUGACAUAUCUUAUUAUUAUUAUUUCCUUUUCAUCAACAUUGCAUCUAUUGAUUUACCUAAUAUGAAUUUUGUGUCAUAUGUUUGCAAAUCAACAAUGACUAUUUUACCAUCAAACUACAUUAUGAAAGGAGGUUUAGGCGGGAGAAAAUAAAGGCUAAUAAGAAAAACACCUAAUAGAGAGGUGAAUUGGGUUUUUCAAAAAGUUUUUCAACACUACAAAUUUAAGCACAAUAGAAGCAAAAAUAAUGAGAUAGAGUUAGAGAAUUCAAACUUAGAUUUUAUAGUGGUUUGACACUUCCUUACCUACGUCCACUUUCCUCAAGUUCCUAACCGAGUGAGGGUUCCACUAACUUGAAGCUUCAAUCAAACUUCUAAUUUUCUUUACACUUGGAUUUUGACUCCAAUAGGCUCUUACACAAUCACUUCAAGAUUCAACACACUUGAAGGCUCUAACACUCAAUUUACAAGAAUGAUCUUCUUUCAACCUAGCUCAAUAAUGGCUCAAAUACAAAUCAAAGCUAGGAUGACUCACAAGGGUACACUAAAAGAUAUGCAAGUGAAGACUUAAUGCACCAAGAAAGAAAUGAGAGCUUUUAAGGCAAGAACAAGUGGGUAGACAAUUGAAUGCAAGAGUUCUCUAUGUCAGAAAUGAAGUAGAGCUCUCAAUUUAUAGGUUUCUAACAUCGAAAGUCAAGAAAAAUAAAAAGCAGCCUCAACCAGUCGAGUUGGGGGUCGACCGGUUCACUAGUCGUUUGAACAUUUAAUGCUUUGGUAGGUUAUUGUUGCCUCGACCGGACCUCGACCAAAGGUCGACCGGGAAUGAGAAUACCUCAAUCGGGAAGGAAAGACUACUGGAUGAGAGAGUGUUUUUAACACUUCUCGACCGAAACUCGACCAGACAAAGGCAACCAAUCGAUCGGUUCCUUGGUCGGUUGAUCUAGUUGGCCAGUGUCUUGACUAGUUCAACCUUUUGACCCUGAAAACCUAUCUUUUGUGUUUUUCUCUUUUCUAACACUUAGGUAAGGUUUUUAGAUAAAUUAAUAUGCUAAUUUUGAAACAUUUUGCCUAACGUAUAGUUGAUAAAACUCGGGUUUUAAUGAAAUUAUAAUUUUAAAUAAUAAACCGAGUUUUCUAAAGAUGCAUGAAAAGAUAUGUAACACCUAAGUGCACCUAUGCAUUCAUCUUACAUUUGUUUCCUAUGAUUAAAAGUCUUCCAAAAGUCUCGAUCUUGUAUCCAUUAGGUUCUUUGAUUAAUUUCCAAAUUAAUACUUGAGGUUCUUUACAAUUCAAACCAAUUAGUAACUUAACCAUGGUUUGUUAUCAUCAAAACCUGAUUAGGAGAAUAUUUGAGCUAACAAGGCGUAAUAUGAGACUUGUACUUAAGAUUAGUGAUUAUUUGGGUGGAAAAUUGGAUCAUGUUGAUAAUUGUGACAAAAAUGUAGUGUCUUUUAUUGAGUUGGAUCAUAUGUUGUUUUGAUUAAGAUAUAAAGAUUGCAUUGGGUAUUGCUAUGCGAAUAAGAAUGGAGAAUUGGUAUGGUGCUUAGCAGAUUAAAUUGUCUUAGAAAUGUGAAACUCAUGUCCAAGGGAUAAGAAAAUCGAAGUGUUUGUCAAGCACACAGAGGUUUUAUAUCUUGCUUAAAGUGAAAUUGGGUCUUCAAAUGUUUAUAGUCAUCUUGGUGAAAGUGUUUAUGAAGUUGAAGACUCUAGGACUAAUGUAGAACUAGAACUUGAUGUAGAUCAAACACCUCAACAUGAAGAUAACAUAAAAUCAUAAUAUGAAGAGGUUAGGAGAGAUUCAUCUAGAGAUAAGUGACUUUGAUGAUGAUGAGUAUCUAGUUAGUGAUAAUGAUGACUUGUAUGACAAUUAUGUGGAUGAUAAUGAAGAGUGGGUUAGGAUAAGAGGCAAAUAAGAUAACGAGGGAAGAGUUGAGAAGGAAAGCAAAACAAUGAAUGAUGUGGAGGAUGAAAAAAAAACCUUUGUGAUGAUGAUACGAGGAGUUUAGCUAGUGAUAGCAAAGAGGAAUUUAAUAGAGACAAGCCUCGGCACCCUUAAUUUGUGGGUGAUACAGAUAUGACAAAUCCUAAGUUUAGGGUAGUGUUACUAUUCAAAAGUGUAGUUGAGUUUAGAGCUACAAUAAGGGAAUAUGCCAUAAAAAUUGGUAAAAACAUGAAGUUCAUUAAAAAUAAGAAUGACAGAGUAAGGGUAGUUUGUUCAACUAGGUCCCCUUGGGUUGUUUAUGCAACUCAAGUAAGGGAUGAUAAGAAAUUACAAGUAAGGACUUAUAAUGUAAAACAUACUUGUGGUAGGGCAUUCAAAAAUGAUAAUCUCACAUCAAGGUAUUUUCCUAUAAAAGUACUAACUAAUUCAAACUUAAGAAAGUAACUUACCUUAAAAUACUAACUAAUUCUCCAUAUAAAAAAAUAUUUCCUAUAAAAGUACCAACAACAAAAGCAGCAUAAUUAAAUACAUUUUACGAGUAUUACUUCUAAAUAGGUAUUGGCUUCUUUUAAUUAACAAGUUAAACCUUAAAACAAAUCAAAAGACAAGGAUGUUAAACAAUUCUCAUUUAUAAGAAGUUGAUAAAUUUUUAUAAAAAAAAAUAGAGGUUUUGAUAUUGACAUGGGGAUAUAUCUCAAAACAUUUUAAAAACAUGAUAAAAAAGGACGAGGUGUCAGAAGGAGAUCGACGAAGGUAACAAGAAUUUAUUCGUCCGUAUAUCCUACCUCCUUUUAGUUAGUUGAGUCGUGCAUCAAAAAAGUUCCCAUAUCACACUAUUUAUUUUUGUUUUUCUCUUUUUUCCUUUUUUUGUUUUUUUUUUCAAAUUUAAUGAGAUGUGAAAAUUAGGUCUCAUGGAACUUUGCGAAGUUGACCUAAAUUGGGCUUUUAAAUGUACAGGCCAGGCCCAAACCACACCAUAACCCGGAUGUACAAGCCAAAAGUUAAUGGGCUUAGUCUUUCUCCAAUUUUUAGACACGAAAUGUUCCUCAUUUCAGCUCAUUAAUGUACUGCCAAAAGUGAUUGUAUGUGCAUACAUCAGAGAAAGUAGGCAGUCAGUUGAUGACAUUUACUGUGUACUUAGAAGUUAAAAAAUGAAUGUGUGGUCAUUGUCAUGUACCAGCAAUUAAUUUUGAUUAAAGUAAAUAAAGAUAGUGUGGGUGAAAUAAUUGUUAUAUGUGGAUAUUAAUUCCCGAUGAUGUAUUAUAUUAGGUUGAUAGUUUUUUUCAUUAAUAUGCAGUACUAGUCGCAUACAACUUACUUCCUUAAGUCUGAAUUACCAUUAUCAUUUUAAAUUACUCAAACCUGUUCGAUUCCAAAACUAGAUGAUAUAAACGUUCGAAGAAGUAAGACAAAAUCAAUGAUAACGUAAAAGUGAAAAAAAGAAUUAAAAAAUGGAGAAAGACAUGAACUUUGGAAAGGCACUAGGAAAAGUGAUGGAAAUAUAGUUCAAAAGUUUUGCAGAUAGUUCAAAUACAUUUGUAACUUAAGAUGAAUAAAAGUAAAUAUAAGUUCAAAUUAAUGAACAAAUAUUAUUUAAAAUUAAUGAGAAUAAAUAUAUUAAUUUAAUUAUUUAAAAUAAAUUUUAAGUUAAUUUUAUUCAAUAAUUUUAAUAUUUAAAUUUAAAAGGAAGUUUUAAAUCAAUAUUAACUUAAAAUUAACUUAAAUAAUUAAGUAAUAAGUUUUACCCGACAUCCUUUUAAUUAUUCACUAUUGAUUCAUCUUUCUUUUACCAUUUCUCUUAUCCAAUUUAAAACAUUAGAAAUUCAUCCAUUUAUGUUUUCUAUUUAAUCUCUUUAGCAAACUCACCGUAUUUGAGUAGUUAAAUUAAAUCAUAUGUUUCCCACUUUUUGGGAUUUUGAGAAAAAAUAAAUAAAUUUUAAAAGAUAUUUAUUAAAAUAUGAUAAUUUUAAAAAUAUUUUAAAAUUUAUAAUAAUGGAUAAAAAAAUCCAAUUGGAAAUGUUUUUGAAGCAUCAUAUUUUAAUAAAUAUUAAAAAAUAGUUUUUUUUCUUCUUUUUUUUUUUUCCCUCAAAAUCCCCAGUUCUUGAGCAUCACUCUCCCACUUCUAGUUAAUUUGCAACCGCAUGUUCCAAUUUCGUUUGUUGAUGAGACAUUUCAAUAAUCUCAUUUAUUAUUCGAACUGCUCUCACAGGUUUAGACGUUUCUUUGCCUUGUGCCUUGGCUAAGGAUAAUCUAGUUUUUUCUUAUCAUGCACCAUGUUAAGGUAUGGGAAAUUGUCUUAAACAAAAAUAUUGUUCAGCAUUUAAUGCCCAUUAGACUUAAUUUCAUUUACCUUCCCUUAGAUUUUUGCUAAUACAUUUGAUUCUUAUAAAUUUAAAAUUUCAUCAAAUAUCUUUUUUAUUUCUUUUUAUUUUUUAUUUUCAUUUACCUUUAUUCUCAUUCAAAAUAAAUAAAGUAUAUAAUAAAAUUUCAAAUUUAUGAAAACCAGGUAUAAUUAGUCAAAACCUUAGGAGAAUGAAAUUAACUCAAUCCCACUGUAUAUUCUUGUAUGAUUAAGUAUUAAGAUGAAUAUAAUAUAUCUUUAAUAUGAGUAUAAAUAAAUAUAAUAUCAAAUUAUAUAUAAAAAUGAUAGUUCAAUGUUACUAGGGAUGACAACUGGGCGGGUUCGAGCCAGGUCACCCGCGUCCCAACCCCGUCCCGUUUAUUCGAAACAAUUCUCAUACCCAUCCCAUUUAAAAAGUUAAACGGAGCGGACAGGUACGACCAUUUAACUUUUUUUUGAAUUUGAAUUUGAAUUUUUUUUUAAAUUACUUUGAAAAAUUUUAAUUAUAUUAAAAUAAAUAUAUUUUAUAAAUAAUUAAAUUAUUAUAUUUUUAUAAUUUAUUUUAUUAAAAAUAUUUUAUUAUUAUCUAUAUAUUAAAAAUAGUAAAAUAAAAAUUAAAUUAAAUUAAUCUUAAAUUUUAAAUUUAAUUUAAUUUUAUAUAUAAUUGGGACGGGGCGAGGGCGGGCAAUACCCGAACCUCGCCCGGGUUUUUUAAAAAAUAUUUUAUUAUUUGAUCAUCGAACCUCCCAGAAAUGAAUUGAUGAUCAAAUAAUCCAAGAAAAAAAGCAUCAAAUCUAUGAUAUGUGUAAUGAAAGUAAGUAAAUUAAGAAGCUCGUGUUAGGCAUGAACCUGUAUCAUAUGAACCUUCCCAAAACCAAGGAGACUCGCAUUAGCCUAUUUUAUGUGCUUCACUUGCUGUAUAUUAGUAGGUGUAUGAAUAGAAUAUUAAUCUUUCUGAAGAAAAAAAAAAAGGGAAGAAGAAGACUCGAGUGCUCCUUUUUAAAUGCUUCCCUUUGGAUAUCAUUAUAUCAGCAUGGACUAGCUGGCAGCAGCCUGUUACUUACUCGAUUGGAAUUAUGAAGCCUGCAUGCAAUGAGCUGGUGAUUCAUAUUUCACAGGUGGGAUGGAACUUCCAGUUUUGCCACUUUUGUGUUUUACUUUUUUCAUAUCCUCUCCUAUUCUAGUUUCUUCUCAUUCCUUCUAUUUUCUGGACGUUGUCUUUCGUUCAAGCCUAUAAUAUGUUGUCAUGUAAUAAAAAACUUUGUAUCAUUUAUAUAUUAAAAAAGUUAAAUUUUAUUUAUUUUUAAAUUAAUUUUAAGUAAAGUAUUCUCAAUUAUUAUUAUUAUAAAUAAUUAUCAUUUAUUUUUCACAAAAACUCAAUUGUACUUUUAAAACGAUAUUAAUAUCCAUAUUUUUCUAAUAUAUAUUCAAGUGCUAUGGUUUUUUUUUUUUUAAAUGAAAAAUGUAAUUGUUUAUUACUUUUAUUGUAAUAUUAUUAUUUAUAUUGUACUAAAAACUAUUCAUUUAAAAUUGAUUUCUGAUAAUAAAUAUCUAUUUUCUUUUUUAAUAAUGCUUAAAUUGAAUUCAACAAAUAUCAUAUCAAUUGAAUUUAUAAUGAUUUUACAAAAUCAAAAUAAAUGAAAUUUAAAAAUAAAUUAUCCAAUUAAUUUUAUUCCUUUUUUUUCUUUCAAUUUUUGAUAAAUGUUUUAAAGAACAAUUUAUCAAACGUUGUAAUUUUUAAAAAAUACCAAAAAACAAUUUUUUGAUAAAAACAAACAUGUGGCAAAAACAAAUCUUAUACAUCUAAAAAUAAUAAUGGUUUUCAUUUUUAUAAACUACUAAAAAACACUAAUUAUGAAAAAAAUAAACUUGAAAAAACAAACUUUAUACAUUUUAAAAUAAUCAUGAUUUUAUGUAUUUUUUUUAUUAAAUGUGAUAUCUUUUGUCGAUCAUGUAUUAUCUUUUAGUGGUUAUUUUUUUUAGCCCUUCAUAUUUAAUGUAAAUAUGCUAAAUCAUCAUAGGUUUUGAAUUUGGUCAACUAGAACCUUAUCAAUACAUUUUAUAUAUAAAUACUGCAUUUUCAUUUAAGAUAUUUAUACCAGAAAUCUCUGAAAAAAAUAAAUUCCCAAUUGGAAGGGAUGCUAAUAGACAGUUUAAAUUGAUUAAGUAUAUUUAUACCAAAUGUUAAUGGUGCCAAUGAAAUUAGCCCCAUCUUUUUAGGAUACGGAUGAAAGUUACACAGAAGAUUAAAAUGAUUUUUGUGCCUUUUUUUAUGUUAAAUGAAAAAUACUUAUUCUCUCUUUUACCCCUAUUUGAUUGAGGGGUUGGUUUAUUUCACUGCCAGCCAACCUAAUAAGUUUGAAACGUUUUUUAAAGCUUUGUUUUUCGUAUUUUAGUAUUGACAAACCCAACUUUCACUUCAGGUGUUGCAAUUGAUAGAAUCAAAGACAGGACAUGGAUCAAAUUAGUGGCGCAAGCAGCAGACAAGGUAUGAAUUGAGGCUUCUCUUUGAUACACCUAACCAUGUAACGUAUAUUUAUGAAAAUCAAAUAAAAUUAUUUGCAAAACUAUUAAACAGUAUGAUUAAUACAUUACAGUUCUGUACAAUAUAUAUCAACCCAAUUACUCACCGCGUAGCUUAUUAGAUUUUUCUAUUUUGAAUUAAAUUAAACUGCCAAAUGCAAUAUAUUUUCAGAUAUUUGUAAACUCUAAUUGAGAGUGUCAAAGGUUUAUGCAACAUAUUUUGUAACUAAACUACCAAAUGAGGAAUAUUGUUAAUUAUGCUAUUCGUAAAGUCUUUUAGUAUUUGAGUGGUACCAUUAGCUAUGGUCUGUGUUAUAAUGGAUUUCUAAGUGUCCUUUUAGGAAUUAGUAAUGCAAUUUUGAUCUUGAAUUUAGAUGAUAUGAAAUCCACUUACGGAUAUGUUUUCAUCCAUGGUUGACGUGCAGUUUUUUGGAAGUUUACCAAGCAAACUUGCAUUACUUGGUUCACUGUGGAGGUUGAGUUCAUUGCUUUAGAAAAAGUAAGUUUUGAGGGUGAGUAGCCUAGAAACCUCUUAAUAGAUAUCCCUAUAUGGACGAGACUAGUCUAGCCCAUGGCCAUGCAUUGUGAUAGGCACGUUGCAAUUGCUAAGACUAGGGAUAAAAUACUUAAUGGGAAGAAUAAGAAUAUAAGCCUAAUGCACCAUAUUUUGUAGUAGCUACUUGAAACAUGGGUAAUAUGCCAAGAAAUUGUGAGUUAGGAGUUUAAUUUGGCCGAUCUUUGAUCAAACCAUUAAAUAAGAAACUAGUGGAAGAAACAUCCAAGGGAAUGAGACCUAUGCUUAGUAUAAAAGUAAAGAGUGGUGGUAACCUAAUUUAUUAGAAUGCAAAUUUUGUAAAAUAGGUUUUUAUGAGUAAUAACAAUUCACUUGUUGACUUGAGCUGCAGUAUCAAUAUUAAUUGUAUUAGAGCCUAUCCCUAUUGUGUAGAUAGAGUGUAUUUUGCAUUGACAAACGUUGAGUGUUUACUUUUAGUAAAUAUCAUAUUCCUUGUGAAUGUUAUGUUUAAUGUAUAAUAUACUUGAUGGAUUUCCUUCUAUGAGAUUGUAGGUGGGGUCGUAGACAAAUUCUUAGGAGCUCUCAUGAAUAUUCAAGUAGGGCUCAUGGUCAAUUUGUGCCAACCUAUUUUAUACAACUUGGAGUUUCAUAAAAAAACAUUGGUUCAUAAAUAUUUAUUCUCAUCGUGUUUUAUGUUCCAAAUGUCGCCGACAUAGCCUUCGUAUUUGUUGUGGUUGAGAUUGGUGUUGAUCCGCUCCGAAUUCAUGUAUGCGAUAGUACCCAUCGAUGAGUUACACGGAUCUAUGGUCUCAACCAAGAUCUGACUCACUUCAAAGUCGACGAUCUUCACUUGUCGCCUGGCAUUGAUUAGGAGGUUCAAGGGUUUGAUGUCGCAAUGUUUGAUUUCCCAACGAUGGAGGUAGUGGAGGCCAAAGAGGAUCUGAAAAGUGAGAUUCGAGAGAGCGAGCUCGAAGGAGAAAAUACAAAGGAAAAACACUAUUUCCCUCUAUAUUUUCUUAGCUAUAGAAGAAAAAACUAAAGCAAAACAGUGUAAAAAAAAAAAAUACUAGUAAAAUCCACUUCAAUCAAACUCUUAGCUUUCAAUGUGUGCAUUUGGAAUUUGAGGCUUUUAGAGCUUGGAAGGUUAGGGUUUCAAAUGAAGGAUGAAGAUGAAGAAUUAGGGAGAGUUCUAUUAGGGUUUUUAGGUGAUUGAAUUUACAAAUCUACCCUUAUUUAUUCAGUCACGCAUGUGAUAUUUUUGUCUAUUAAAACUAAUACAAUCUAAUAAAAAAGGCAAAGUAUUGGUAUUUAUGAAGUUUGGAGAGCAAUGUAUUCAAUUUUGAACCUGAAAGGACAAUAAACAAAACAUGUUUUAGGUUGAGAGGGUAAAAAGUAUAUUAAACUUUGAUAAUAAUAUUUGAAAGUAGUGGUGCAUAUAAAGAAAAUCAGUGACACAGAUCAACCCACGUAUUUUAUUGUUUGUUAAAAAAGAAUUUACAAGUUUCCAAUGCAAUCAACCAUGAUCAACUAUCAAUUCUAUAUAAAUUAUAUUUACAACUAGUUACAUAUUAAUGACUUCAGAAAUAAAUACAAUUCGUAAUGCAGCAGGCUUAUCUGCCCUUCUACUUCUCCAAAAGGAUAAGCUUCUUGUACAACCAAGUUGCCCAACUUCUCUUUAGAAAAACGCAAUACUGCUGUCUGCCAUUUUUUAGCUUCUCUUCUUGUUCCAACCAUAAACAAGAUUUGUCAUGCUUAAAUUCCAGUUUCCGAGCAAUUGCAUGUACAUCAAUAGAUGGGUUUCUUUAGCUUCUCUGCAAAAGGCUGAACGCUUUGCAAUAAUCUUCUUCCAACAAAAAGUCAAAAUGUACCCAUCGAUCGAUAUCUUUUCUUUAAUUUUUUUCUUUUCAUCAAAGUGAAGAAAGGAGAGUACUUUUAUGUCAGCUUUAUUCAUAAAGUCUCUAAAUGGAAUCAUGAUGUAGAAUGAAAAUCAAGUGGAUGCUUUAUCACUGGUUCUUGGACAGAUGGGAUUCUUUGUUCAUUCAUGAUUCAACCCAUCAAUGUCCAUUUAAUUUUUUUUAAUUUUAUUAUUAUUAUUAUUAUUAUUAUUAUUAUUAUUUUUGCUUUAAAAAUAAGUAAGUAAUGUGAAUAGGAUUUCAAAGAUUCCUGCAAUAUCACCUUUACAAAUUUUAUUUUUUUUUUAUUUUAUUAUUAUGCCUUCGAGGUGUGGGAUUGACCUUUUUUUAUUUGAUAAGAAGUAAAGGAAAGUAUAGCUGUUUAAACUUUAAACAGAUGAUUCAUGAAAAUAUUUAGUGAUUAAGGGUUUGUUUGGUUGCCUUUUUUGAGAACUAUUUUUUGUUUUUAAAAAUAAAAAAUAUUAAAAAUAUAUUUGAUAAAUAUCUCUUUUUUAGAGAAAAAAAUAUUAUUUUUUUUUAUUUUUUGACCAUUGAGAGAACUAAAAAGAAAGGCAUCAGAGAAGAAUUGUUCUUUAUAUUUUCUUUUUUCUAUUCUCACUUUUUCCUAUAUGUAGUUUCUCAUCCAAGAUGAAACAAAGUGAAACCAUUUGUUUUUUUGUUUGUUUUAUCAUAUUGAAACCUUUAUUUUAUUUUUGUUUUUUUUUUAAAUAUAAUUUUCUUUUGGAAUUGGAUUAUGGAAUCAUUUCUCAAUUCUAUUAUUCAAAUGGGAUCUAGGUGGUUUUUUAAUUCCAUCAAGUGUUUUUUGUUUUUAAAUUUUUCUCGUUUGGAUGUUAAGAAAAUUAGGGAAAGAUAAGGAAAAGAAUUUGACAUGAGUAGAAUUUUUUUGGGUGGUUUUAAGUAGGAUUUUUCUUGGGUUAUUUUUAGGAUUUCAAUACGAUUGCUUAUUUAUGUUUGUAAAUUCUCUUUUGGUAUAUUCAAUUCUAGAAAUGAAGUUAAACGCCACGCAUCACAUUUAAAAAUUCUGUCAACAUCAACACAAUACUUUUCAAAGUAUUGUGAAUUUUUUUUUAAAGGUAAAUAAAAGAAUAUCUUCAAAUAUCCGAAAUUAUUCAAACAUGGAGGAAAUAUAUUCUUUUGAAAGAAGAGAAAAUGAAAAGAAAAACAAAAUUGACAAAAGAAAUAGUAGUGGUUAGGCUUGGUUUGAUUACAGCCUAUGCAGGCAAGUUAUUAAAGAGGAGGUUGGGAUGGGCCUCCACAAAAGCAAUUCGCCAUUGACGUGAUUAAAUGCAGCCGAAAGUGUAAGAUCAAGCAUUCAAAGCUCUAUAUAAAAUCACAAAAUCAUGUGGUUGCUUUGUUAUUCAUUCAACCCGUCAUUGUCUUUUUAAUUUUUGUAAUUUUUUUGCUUUAGAAAAGUUAUAAAUAAAUAAAUAAAAAGUAGUGUGAAUGGGAUGAGAUUUAAAAGAUGGGUACCAUGGAAUCACCUUUACGAACUUCAUUUUUUAUUUUUUUAAUUAGGACUUGGAGACUUGGAAUUGACUUUCACCCUGUCAUUGUCUUUUUAAUUUUUGCAAUUUUUUUUGCUUUAAAAAAGUUAUAAAUAAAUUUAAAAAAAAAAAAAAAAAAAAGUAUGAAAUGGGAUGGGAUUUCAAAGAUGCCUACCAUGGAAUUACCUUUACAGUUUUUUUUUUUUAAUGAGGACUCAAAGAGUUAGGUGGCGUUUAUUUUUUAUAUUUAAUUUUAAAUAAAAUUUUAAUAUUUAAUAGUUUAAAAUAUUAGAUUGUUUAUUUUUAUAGUAUUUUAUUUUUGUUAAAUAUUAAAAAAUAAAAAAAAUCAGUAUAUUAUUUUUUUUAUUUAAAAAAAUUAUAUAUUUUGAUUUUUUUUAUUUAUUAAAAAAUUUAUAAUAAGUCAUAAAAAAAAUAGAAAAAUAAAUAACUUAAAUUUUAAAAAUAAAUUACUUUCAAUAAAAAACUAAAAAAAUAAACACCGCUGAGGGAUUGACUUUUUUAUUAGAUAAGAAGCAAGAGAAACUAUCGUUGUUUGAAUAGAGGAUUCGUAUAAAUAUCUACUGACUUGACUCUUUUCCAUGUACACAUGGAGUACAUAAGAAUCGAAGGACUCGUUUUGUUUUGUUCUUUUAUUUUAAAUUUCAGAACAAGGCUUUGAGUUUUAUCUAGAAUAAGGUAAUUUUGCAUCUGGAUUUGGAUUUGUGAUAUUUUACCUCAUGCUUUUCAUAUUCGCAUAGUCUUUAGGAGACACGAAAACAUCAUUAUAUGUUUUGUAAAGGACCUUUUUUGACAUUCCCCAAUUAUUAAAAAGUUUGGAGAAGGCACGGCCUGUAUUUAAGGAUACACAGGGUCUUGCUAGUUUUUGGAGAAGGACAGCUUACUCGAAGCUGCUUUCAAGCAGUACUACUUGGGGGAACCUUUUCAGGUAUGGCGGCUGUAAGCUUCUUUUUAUUUUUUUAUCAAUUUGCUCCAUGUUCUGCCCAUUUUCUGGAUUGAUGUGGAAAUUAAGGUUUAAAUGGUGUUUUUGCUGAAUCUGAAUUUGUUUUCAUACUUUGUUUUGGUUUUCUACUGAUCCCUUUUAUUUUUCCUCUAAAUACCUAACGUUUGGAUUGUUCUUGAGUUGGAUACUUGCUAAUCAUGCCACAGCUCUCUGCUUGUCCCACUUACGUUCAAGCCCAUGGAUAACACAAUGAAAUGUGGUUCUCUCUAACUAUUUGUCUGUACCACUUUUGUAUUUUACUUUCUUCAGAUCCUCCCCUAUUCUAGUUUCUUCUCCUUCCUUCUAUUUUCUGGACAUUGUCUUUCGUUCAAGCCUAUAAUAUGUUGUCAUGUAAUGAAAAACUUUGUAACAUUUAUAUAUUAAAAAAGUUAAAUUUUAUUUAUUUCUAAAUUAAUUUGAAGUAAAGUGUUCUCAAUUAUUAUUAUUUUAAAUAAUUAUCAUUUAUUUUUCACAAAAACUCAAUUGUACUUUUAAAACGAUAAUAUCCAUAUUUUUCUAAUAAAUAUUAAAGUGCUACGCUUUUUUUAAAAUGAAAAAUGUAAUUUUUUAUUUUAUUAUUAUAUUAAUAUUUAUAUUGUACUAAAAACUAUUCAUUUAAAAUCGAUUUGUAAUAAUAAAAAACUAUUUGCAUUUUUAAUGAUGCUUAAAUUGAAUUCAACAAAUAUCAUAUCAAUUGAAUUUAUAAUAAUUUUAUAAAAUCAAAAUAAAUAAAUAAUUUAAAAAUAAAUUAUCCAAUUAAUUUUCUUUUUUUUUCUUUCAAUUUUUUAUAAAUGUUUUCAAGAACUGUUUACCAAACACUGUAAUUUUAAAAAAUACAAAAAAAAACUCACUUGUUCAAAUCUUGAUCUAUAAAUGUGAUACAACGAAUUUUGUCACAAUCUUCUCUCUCUUUUUCUUGAAUAUCUUCAAUUAAUUCACGAGGCAUGUUGUUUAACUCUAGUCUUCGAAGAUUUUUCAGUCUCAACAAUCCACUAAAAAGCCUUUCUAGUUUACAACAAUUGUUAAUUUGCAAAAUUCGUAGACAAGGCAUUACUCAUUUCUUCACUUUCAAUUUUCAACCACUCUAAUUGGUGCAACCAAUCUAAUUUUAGUAGCUCAAGUCUAAGGAACCUUCCAAAAAGCAAAACCAAUUCAUUUCCCACAUAUGCAAAACUCAUUAAUUUAAGAACCCUCACGUUUGGCAACAUAAUUAUAUCCCUUGUUAUUCAUCCUUUUUUACAUUCCUCAAUUAUUAGGAAGGAAUUAAAAACAAAUAUUUUGGGCUAAAACGAAGUAAAUGCUCUAAAAAAUAUUAGUGUUGCACAAUUUAUUUUACUAUAAAGGUAGGUUAUUAAUUUGACAAUUUUAAUAUAGGAAAGCAAUGUCACAUCCCAUUAAAAUUUUGAAAAAUGCCAAAAAUAAAUUACAUAAAUUACAUGCUAAAUUACAGGAUUGAAAACAAUGAAACAUAGGAUUGAAGUUUUUACAGAGAUAUGUGGUAGCACUCUGUCUAGAUAUCUUAUUCUCGCACUAACAAUGGCUGUAGAGAUCGAGAUGAAUCCUGCGGAUGACGGUAGCCAGAUUAGAACCAUGGCUGACUUAAAAUCCGAAAUUGAUCGACCACGAACCAUGCCUGCAUCAGCAACUGUAAACCCACGAUGUCCCAAGGUUCCAAAGUCGUUGUUGCCAUCAGAUGCCCAGGGUUCUGAGCCUUCUGACGACCACCCUUAUGAGCCAAUGGUCAUGUCUUUGGGUCCUUACCACCAUGGCAAUCCGAAGCUCGUACGUGGAGAAAAGAUCAAGCUUCUAUUGGCGCUAGAUUUCUUCGAUGAUUUGAAGCAACCCAGCACUGUUGACCAGCCCGUAGACCAACCCGUAGACCAGACAAAAAAGAAGGUAGUCGAUGAAUUGUACAGCAGAAUUAGCAGUGUUGUUAGUAGGUUGAGGGACUGUUAUGAUAAGGAGUCGAUAGAGAAUUAUUCGAAUGAACAAUUCAGUGUGAUGAUGCUGGUGGACGGGUGUGCUUUAAUGAGGUACAUUCUUUAUGCUUGCAUUCAUCGUGACCGUGACCAUGAAUCUUUCGAUAUCAGAUAUGAGGAUCUAAGCCUUCUGCAUAGGGAUGCGAUGCUGCUGGAGAAUCAACUUCCCUAUGAAUUAAUCAUGGAAGUGCUGAAGAUGAAUAAAACAUGGAAUCCUUCUUUUUGGAAAAUGCUAUGCGUGGAAUUCUGUGGCAUGACCCUGUGGGAGGUGGAGCCAUACUCAUUCCUGCAAAAAAUGAAGAAAUUUUGCUGCGGCCGGUUCCCCGCAAUCGGCCAAAUUAUUAACCGGCAGCGGAGGCCAAACCCUGAUGAAGAAUCAGGGAGAAACACCAAUGAAGAAUCUGGGAGAAACACUGAUCAUCUCCUCGAUCUGUACUGGGAUAAUUUCCUAGGAGCCAAAUGUUCUAGCCACUUAGAUUAUUUCCUAGGAGCCAAUUGUUCUAGCCCAACGCAUGGGGGGGAUAAAACUGACUGUAUGGGAUCAAUUGUUGAUGUGAAGGAGCAGGUAAUGGCAUCAUUUAGAAAUGUGAAGGAUCUUAUGGCCGCUGGAAUCCGCAUCAAGCCUAGCCCUACACGUUUUUUGAGGGACAUUUCUUUCACUUCCAAUUGCGUCACUGCAUACCUCAGACUUCCUCCCAUCACCAUUGAUAAGUCAACCAAGGAUAUGUUCUUCAACUUGAUAGCCUGGGAAAUGAGCUCAAAUAAGCCCCAUGACUUCAUCUCUUACCUUCGCUUCCUUGAUUCCCUCAUUGAUGAUGCUGAUGACAUUAAGGAGCUGCAGUCCGCCGGGGUACUC
rnacentral:lncRNA from 1 species